rnacentral:rRNA from 1 species
CCUACGGGGCGCUGCAGUGGGGAAUAUUGCACAAUGGGCGCAAGCCUGAUGCAGCCAUGCCGCGUGUGUGAAGAAGGCCUUCGGGUUGUAAAGCACUUUCAGCGGGGAGGAAGGCGUUAAGGUUAAUAACCUUGGCGAUUGACGUUACCCGCAGAAGAAGCACCGGCUAACUCCGUGCCAGCAGCCGCGGUAAUACGGAGGGUGCAGGCGUUAAUCGGAAUUACUGGGCGUAAAGCGCACGCAGGCGGUCGGUCAAGUCGGAUGUGAAAUCCCCGGGCUCAACCUGGGAACUGCAUUCGAAACUGGCAGGCUAGAGUCUUGUAGAGGGGGGUAGAAUUCCAGAUGUAGCGGUGAAAUGCGUAGAGAUCUGGAGGAAUACCGGUGGCGAAGGCGGCCCCCUGGACAAAGACUGACGCUCAGGUGCGAAAGCGUGGGGAGCAAACAGGAUUAGAUACCCGAGUAGUC